rnacentral:rRNA from 1 species
UACGGGGGGAGCAAGCGUUGUUCGGAUUUACUGGGCGUAAAGGGCGCGUAGGCGGCCAGCACAAGUCAGUUGUGAAAUCUCCCGAGCUUAACUCGGAACGGUCAACUGAUACUGUGCGGCUAGAGUGCAGAAGGGCAACUGGAAUCUUGGUGUAGCGGUGAAAUGCGUAGAUAUCAAGAGGAACACCUGCGGCGAAGGCGGGUUGCUGGGCUGACACGUGACGCUGGAGGCGCGAAAGCUAGGGGAGCGAACGGG